GACGAACGCUGGCGGCGUGCUUAACACAUGCAAGUCGAGCGACGCUCUUCCUUCGGGGAGAUGACGGAGCGGCGAACGGGUGAGUAACACGUGGGCAACCUGCCCCUAGCUCUGGGACAACACCGGGAAACCGGUGCUAAUACCGGAUACGACAUCGAGCGGCAUCUCUCGAUGUGGAAAGUUUUUUCGGCUAGGGAUGGGCCCGCGGCCUAUCAGCUUGUUGGUGGGGUAAUGGCCCACCAAGGCGACGACGGGUAGCCGGCCUGAGAGGGCGACCGGCCACACGGGGACUGAGACACGGCCCAGACUCCUACGGGAGGCAGCAGUGGGGAAUAUUGCGCAAGGGGCGAAAGCCUGACGCAGCGACGCCGCGUGAGGGAGGACGGCCUUCGGGUUGUAAACCUCUUUCAGCAGGGACGAAUUCAGACGGUACCUGCAGAAGAAGCACCGGCCAACUACGUG
rnacentral:rRNA from 1 species